UACGUAGGGCGCAAGCGUUGUCCGGAAUUAUUGGGCGUAAAGAGCUCGUAGGCGGUUUGUCGCGUCUGCUGUGAAAACCUAAGGCUCAACCUUGGGCUUGCAGUGGGUACGGGCAGACUAGAGCGCGGUAGGGGUGACUGGAAUUCCUGGUGUAGCGGUGGAAUGCGCAGAUAUCAGGAGGAACACCGAUGGCGAAGGCAGGUCACUGGGCCGCAACUGACGCUGAGGAGCGAAAGCAUGGGGAGCGAACAGG
rnacentral:rRNA from 1 species